GAUGAACGCUGGCGGCGUGUCUAAUACCUGCGAUUCGAGCGAACGGACGUGAAGCUUGUUUCUCUGAUGUUAGCGGCGGACGGGUGAUUAACACGUGGAUAACCUACCUAUAAGCCUGGGAUAACUUCGGGCAACCGGAUCUAAUACCUGAUUAUAUUUUGAACCUCAUGGUUCAAAAGUGAAAGACGGUCUUGCUGUCACUUAUAGAUGUAUCCGCGCUGCAUUAGCUAGUUGGUAAGGUAACGGCUUACCAAGGCAACGAUGCAUAGCCGACCUGAGAGGGUGAUCGGCACCACUGGAACUGAGACACGGUCCAGACUCCUACGGGAGGCAGCAGUAGGGAAUCUUCCGCAAUGGGCGAAAGCCUGACGGAGCAACGCCGCGUGAGUGAUGAAGGUCUUCGGAUCGUAAAACUCUGUUAUUAGGGAAGAACAUAUGUGUAAGUAACUGUGCACAUCUUGACGGUACCUAAUCAGAAAGCCACGGCUAACUACGUG
rnacentral:rRNA from 1 species